GUCGAGCGGUAAGGCCCUUCGGGGUACACGAGCGGCGAACGGGUGAGUAACACGUGGGUGAUCUGCCCUGCACUUCGGGAUAAGCCUGGGAAACUGGGUCUAAUACCGGAUAUGACCUUCGGCUGCAUGGCUGAGGGUGGAAAGGUUUACUGGUGCAGGAUGGGCCCGCGGCCUAUCAGCUUGUUGGUGGGGUAAUGGCCUACCAAGGCGACGACGGGUAGCCGACCUGAGAGGGUGACCGGCCACACUGGGACUGAGACACGGCCCAGACUCCUACGGGAGGCAGCAGUGGGGAAUAUUGCACAAUGGGCGAAAGCCUGAUGCAGCGACGCCGCGUGAGGGAUGACGGCCUUCGGGUUGUAAACCUCUUUCAGCAGGGACGAAGCGAAAGUGACGGUACCUGCAGAAGAAGCACCGGCCAACUACGUGCCAGCAGCCGCGGUAAUACGUAGGGUGCAAGCGUUGUCCGGAAUUACUGGGCGUAAAGAGCUCGUAGGCGGUUUGUCGCGUCGUCUGUGAAAACUCGAGGCUCAACCUCGAGCUUGCAGGCGAUACGGGCAGACUUGAGUACUGCAGGGGAGACUGGAAUUCCUGGUGUAGCGGUGAAAUGCGCAGAUAUCAGGAGGAACACCGGUGGCGAAGGCGGGUCUCUGGGCAGUAACUGACGCUGAGGAGCG
rnacentral:rRNA from 1 species